GUAUGGAUUUGAAUUUAUGGCGGGCCUGUCCCCCUGGACCUCUCUUAGUGCCCUAUGCCAGAGUAAACCAUGACCCCAAACCAUUACCUGGCCUCUGUCCACAGGCUGCUAGCACUGAAGUGGGUUAUACAAGG
ensembl:snoRNA